rnacentral:rRNA from 1 species
UACGAAGGGGGCUAGCGUUGCUCGGAAUUACUGGGCGUAAAGGGCUCGUAGGUGGCCAACUAAGUCAGACGUGAAAUCCCUCAGCUUAACCGGGGAACUGCGUCUGAUACUGGAUGGCUUGAGUUUGGGAGAGGGAUGCGGAAUUCCAGGUGUAGCGGUGAAAUGCGUAGAUAUCUGGAGGAACACCGGUGGCGAAGGCGGCAUCCUGGACCAACACUGACGCUGAGGAGCGAAAGCCAGGGGAGCAAACGGG